rnacentral:rRNA from 2 species
UGCCUAAUACAUGCAAGUCGUACGAGUUCUCGUUGAUGAUCGGUGCUUGCACCGAGAUUCAACAUGGAACGAGUGGCGGACGGGUGAGUAACACGUGGGUAACCUGCCCUUAAGUGGGGGAUAACAUUUGGAAACAGAUGCUAAUACCGCAUAGAUCCAAGAACCGCAUGGUUCUUGGCUGAAAGAUGGCGUAAGCUAUCGCUUUUGGAUGGACCCGCGGCGUAUUAGCUAGUUGGUGAGGUAAUGGCUCACCAAGGCGAUGAUACGUAGCCGAACUGAGAGGUUGAUCGGCCACAUUGGGACUGAGACACGGCCCAAACUCCUACGGGAGGCAGCAGUAGGGAAUCUUCCACAAUGGACGCAAGUCUGAUGGAGCAACGCCGCGUGAGUGAAGAAGGCUUUCGGGUCGUAAAACUCUGUUGUUGGAGAAGAAUGGUCGGCAGAGUAACUGUUGUCGGCGUGACGGUAUCCAACCAGAAAGCCACGGCUAACUACGUGCCAGCAGCCGCGGUAAUACGUAGGU